GACGUAAGUGGCAAGCGUUAUCCGGAAUUACUGGGUGUAAAGGGAGUGUAGGUGGUUAUAUAAGUCAGAGGUUAAAACGCUAGGCUCAACCUAGUCGGUGCCUCUGAAACUGUAUAGCUAGAGUAUGGGAGAGGAAGACGGAAUUAUCACUGUAGCGGUGGAAUGCGUAGAUAGUGAUAGGAACGCCGACGACGAAGGUAGUCUUCUAGACCAAUACUGACACUGAGGCUCGAAAGCUAGGGGAGCAAACAGG
rnacentral:rRNA from 1 species